rnacentral:rRNA from 1 species
UACGUAGGGUGCGAGCGUUGUCCGGAAUUAUUGGGCGUAAAGAGCUCGUAGGCGGUGUGCCGCGUCGGCCGUGAAAACCUGGGGCUCAACUCUGGGCGUGCGGUCGAUACGGGCAUCACUUGAGUUCGGCAGGGGAGACUGGAAUUCCUGGUGUAGCGGUGAAAUGCGCAGAUAUCAGGAGGAACACCGGUGGCGAAGGCGGGUCUCGUGGGCCGAUGACUGACGCUGAGGAGCGAAAGCAUGGGUAGCGAACAGG